rnacentral:rRNA from 1 species
GGGUUGUGAGGUUAAGCGACUAAGCGUACACGGUGGAUGCCCUGGCAGUCAGAGGCGAUGAAGGACGUGCUAAUCUGCGAAAAGCGUCGGUAAGGUGAUAUGAACCGUUACAGCCGGCGAUGUCCGAAUGGGGAAACCCAGUGCAAUUCGUUGCACUAUCGUUAACUGAAUACAUAGGUUAACGAGGCGAACCGGGGGAACUGAAACAUCUAAGUACCCCGAGGAAAAGAAAUCAACCGAGAUUCCCCAGUAGCGGCGAGCGAACGGGGAGCAGCCCGGAGUCUGAAUCAGCUUGUGUGUUAGUGGAAGCGUCUGGAAAGUCGCAGGGUACAGGGUGAUACUCCCGUACACUAAAACACACAGGCUGUGAACUCGAAGAGUAGGGCGGGACACGUGGUAUCCUGUCUGAAUAUGGGGGGACCAUCCUCCAAGGCUAAAUACUCCUGACUGACCGAUAGUGAACCAGUACCGUGAGGGAAAGGCGAAAAGAACCCCGGCGAGGGGAGUGAAAAAGAACCUGAAACCGUGUACGUACAAGCAGUAGGAGCCCACUAGUUGGGUGACUGCGUACCUUUUGUAUAAUGGGUCAGCGACUUAUAUUCUGUAGCAAGGUUAACCGUAUAGGGGAGCCGCAGGGAAACCGAGUCUUAACUGGGCGUUAAGUUGCAGGGUAUAGACCCGAAACCCGGUGAUCUAGCCAUGGGCAGGUUGAAGGUUGGGUAACACUAACUGGAGGACCGAACCGACUAAUGUUGAAAAAUUAGCGGAUGACUUGUGGCUGGGGGUGAAAGGCCAAUCAAACCGGGAGAUAGCUGGUUCUCCCCGAAAGCUAUUUAGGUAGCGCCUCGUGAAUUCAUCUUCGGGGUAGAGCACUGUUUCGGCUAGGGGGUCAUCCCGACUUACCAACCCGAUGCAAACUACGAAUACCGAAGAAUGUUAUCACGGGAGACACACGGCGGGUGCUAACGUCCGUCGUGAAGAGGGAAACAACCCAGACCGCCAGCUAAGGUCCCAAAGUCAUGGUUAAGUGGGAAACGAUGUGGGAAGGCCCAGACAGCCAGGAUGUUGGCUUAGAAGCAGCCAUCAUUUAAAGAAAGCGUAAUAGCUCACUGGUCGAGUCGGCCUGCGCGGAAGAUGUAACGGGGCUAAACCAUGCACCGAAGCUGCGGCAGCGACACUAUGUGUUGUUGGGUAGGGGAGCGUUCUGUAAGCCGUUGAAGGUGGCCUGUGAGGGUUGCUGGAGGUAUCAGAAGUGCGAAUGCUGACAUAAGUAACGAUAAUGCGGGUGAAAAACCCGCACGCCGGAAGACCAAGGGUUCCUGUCCAACGUUAAUCGGGGCAGGGUGAGUCGACCCCUAAGGCGAGGCCGAAAGGCGUAGUCGAUGGGAAACAGGUUAAUAUUCCUGUACUUGGUGUUACUGCGAAGGGGGGACGGAGAAGGCUAUGUUGGCCGGGCGACGGUUGUCCCGGUUUAAGCAUGUAGGCGGAUGUUCCAGGUAAAUCCGGAACGUCACUAACGCUGAGGUGUGAUGACGAGGCACUACGGUGCUGAAGUGACAAAUGCCCUGCUUCCAGGAAAAGCCUCUAAGCAUCAGGUAACAUCAAAUCGUACCCCAAACCGACACAGGUGGUCAGGUAGAGAAUACCAAGGCGCUUGAGAGAACUCGGGUGAAGGAACUAGGCAAAAUGGUGCCGUAACUUCGGGAGAAGGCACGCUGAUGGUAAGUGAAGUGACUUGCUCAUGGAGCUGAAAUCAGUCGAAGAUACCAGCUGGCUGCAACUGUUUAUUAAAAACACAGCACUGUGCAAACACGAAAGUGGACGUAUACGGUGUGACGCCUGCCCGGUGCCGGAAGGUUAAUUGAUGGGGUUAUCCUCGCGGAGAAGCUCUUGAUCGAAGCCCCGGUAAACGGCGGCCGUAACUAUAACGGUCCUAAGGUAGCGAAAUUCCUUGUCGGGUAAGUUCCGACCUGCACGAAUGGCGUAAUGAUGGCCAGGCUGUCUCCACCCGAGACUCAGUGAAAUUGAACUCGCUGUGAAGAUGCAGUGUACCCGCGGCAAGACGGAAAGACCCCGUGAACCUUUACUAUAGCUUGACACUGAACACUGGUCCUUGAUGUGUAGGAUAGGUGGGAGGCUUUGAAGUGUGGACGCCAGUCUGCAUGGAGCCAUCCUUGAAAUACCACCCUUUAAUGGCUGGUGUUCUAACGUGGGCCCGUGAUCCGGGUUGCGGACAGUGUCUGGUGGGUAGUUUGACUGGGGCGGUCUCCUCCUAAAGAGUAACGGAGGAGCACGAAGGUCAGCUAAUCCUGGUCGGACAUCAGGAGGUUAGUGCAAUGGCAUAAGCUGGCUUGACUGCGAGCGUGACGGCGCGAGCAGGUGCGAAAGCAGGUCAUAGUGAUCCGGUGGUUCUGAAUGGAAGGGCCAUCGCUCAACGGAUAAAAGGUACUCCGGGGAUAACAGGCUGAUACCGCCCAAGAGUUCAUAUCGACGGCGGUGUUUGGCACCUCGAUGUCGGCUCAUCACAUCCUGGGGCUGAAGUAGGUCCCAAGGGUAUGGCUGUUCGCCAUUUAAAGUGGUACGCGAGCUGGGUUUAGAACGUCGUGAGACAGUUCGGUCCCUAUCUGCCGUGGGCGCUGGAGAAUUGAGGGGGGCUGCUCCUAGUACGAGAGGACCGGAGUGGACGCAUCACUGGUGUUCGGGUUGUCAUGCCAAUGGCAUUGCCCGGUAGCUAAAUGCGGAAGAGAUAAGUGCUGAAAGCAUCUAAGCACGAAACUUGCCCCGAGAUGAGUUCUCCCUGACUCCUUGAGAGUCCUGAAGGAACGUUGAAGACGACGACGUUGAUAGGCCGGGUGUGUAAGCGCAGCGAUGCGUUGAGCUAACCGGUACUAAUGAACCGUGAGGCUUAACCUUACAACGCCGAAG